AUCUUCUUUGAGGUAUGCUUAAGGAGGGGCUUGCGACACAUUAGUUAGUUGGCAGGGUAAAGGCCUACCAAGACUAUGAUGUGUAGCUGGACUGAGAGGUUGAACAGCCACAUUGGGACUGAGACACGGCCCAAACUCCUACGGGAGGCAGCAGUAGGGAAUUUUCGGCAAUGGAGGAAACUCUGACCGAGCAACGCCGCGUGAACGAUGAAGUACCUCGGUAUGUAAAGUUCUUUUAUUAAGGAAGAAAAAAGAGUGGAAAAACUCCCUUGACGGUACUUAAUGAAUAAGCCCCGGCUAAUUAUGUGCCAGCAGCCGCGGUAAUACAUAAGGGGCGAGCGUUAUCCGGAAUUAUUGGGCGUAAAGGGUGCGUAGGCGGUUUAAUAAGUCUAUAGUUUAAUUUCAGUGCUUAACGCUGUUGUGCUAUAGAAACUGUUUUACUAGAGUGAGAUAGAGGCAAGCGGAAUUCCAUGUGUAGCGGUAAAAUGCGUAAAUAUAUGGAGGAACACCAGAGGCGUAGGCGGCUUGCUGGGUCUUUACUGACGCUGAGGCACGAAAGCGUGGGGAGCAAACAGGAUUAGAUACCCUGGUAGUCCACGCCGUAAACGAUGAGUACUAAGUGUCGGGUAAAACUGGUACUGAAGUUAACACAUUAAGUACUCCGCCUGAGUAGUACGUACGCAAGUAUGAAACUUAAAGGAAUUGACGGGACUCCGCACAAGCGGUGGAUCAUGUUGUUUAAUUCGAAGAUACAC
rnacentral:rRNA from 1 species